UGUACGCAUACACGUGUUAUCAGUAUAUCUCUACGUGGCUCAAUCAGUUUCUUGUGGUGGGAAAACUUUCUUCACGUGUUGAACUCAACUGGCACUUAUACUGCACAUCUGUGUGUGUCUGCGUUUGUGUCUGUGUGUGUGUGGGCGAUGGGAGUUUCCCAAUGGAAAGAGGAUCAUGGAUACUGUGGUGAAGAUGUGAUUGAGUAAUAAAAGAGACAGGAAACAGGCAACUGAGAGGGCAGCUGGUGGGAGUGUAUUGGGGUCCUGAUUCAGAAAAGCCCUUGGGUUCCCUGCUAGAUAACAGUAUUUACUCAGCUAUAAAGGUGAUCAUCUAGGUUCCCUGCUAGAUAACAGUAUUUACUCAGCUAUAAAGGUGGUCAUCUAGGUUCCCUGCUAGAUAACAGUAUUUACUCAGCUAUAAAGGUGAUCAUCUAGGUUCCCUGCUAGAUAACAGUAUUUACUCAGCUAUAAAGGUGGUCAUCUAGGUUCCCUGCUAGAUAACAGUAUUUACUCAGCUAUAAAGGUGGUCAUCGAGGUUCCCUGCUAGAUAACAGUAUUUACUCAGCUAUAAAGGUGAUCAUCUAGGUUCCCUGCUAGAUAACAGUAUUUACUCAGCUAUAAAGGUGGUCAUCUAGGUUCCCUGCUAGAUAACAGUAUUUACUCAGCUAUAAAGGUGGUCAUCGAGGUUCCCUGCUAGAUAACAGUAUUUACUCAGCUAUAAAGGUGAUCAUCUAGGUUCCCUGCUAGAUAACAGUAUUUACUCAGCUAUAAAGGUGGUCAUCUAGGUUCCCUGCUAGAUAACAGUAUUUACUCAGCUAUAAAGGUGGUCAUCUAGGUUCCCUGCUAGAUAACAGUAUUUACUCAGCUAUAAAGGUGGUCAUCGAGGUUCCCUGCUAGAUAACAGUAUUUACUCAGCUAUAAAGGUGGUCAUCGAGGUUCCCUGCUAGAUAACAGUAUUUACUCAGCUAUAAAGGUGAUCAUCUAGGUUCCCUGCUAGAUAACAGUAUUUACUCAGCUAUAAAGGUGAUCAUCUAGGUUCCCUGCUAGAUAACAGUAUUUACUCAGCUAUAAAGGUGAUCAUCUAGGUUCCCUGCUAGAUAACAGUAUUUACUCAGCUAUAAAGGUGAUCAUCUAGGUUCCCUGCUAGAUAACAGUAUUUACUCAGCUAUAAAGGUGAUCAUCUAGGUUCCCUGCUAGAUAACAGUAUUUACUCAGCUAUAAAGGUGAUCAUCUAGGUUCCCUGCUAGAUAACAGUAUUUACUCAGCUAUAAAGGUGGUCAUCGAGGUUCCCUGCUAGAUAACAACACAACGUGGAAGCCUUGAUGUUGUGAGAUAGUUGCUAGUUGGUAAUGAUACAUUAUUGUCAGUGUGUCUCUUAAUGGGUUAAGAGGAUGGAAACAUUAAUAUAAUAUGAUUCAAAUACAAUAAAAAUACCUGUUUUAUUGUCAUAUACAGCAGAUAGGUGCAGUGAAAUGUGUUGUUUUACAGGGUCAGUAAAUGAAGGUUACAUGUAAGUGCCUUGCUCAAGGGCACAUCGGUAGAUUUUUCACCUUGUCGUCACUGUGAUGUGGUGCUUUAGUGAUUGUGUGGCUGAAUGGGCUGAAGGUUGGAUCCUCUGUCUCAUCAGCCCCAAGUGUCCAUGUUUUCUCUGCUCGGAGGGAAGUUUCCCCUAGGUACAGAUCCAGGAUCAGCUUCACCUCCCCCAACACACACCUUAGACAUUAUUGUGGAAAUUACAAAGCAAUAUUUAAGGCUCAUGGAGACAUUUGCCAUAACUGCAUGCAACAUAGAUUAUGAGGUGUGUUGCCCUUUUCAUUUGGGCUGGGAAGUUCACCCUGGACUGUGUUUUCUAGCUCUCCUUUCACAAGACAAGAAGCAACAGAGACGUCAAUGGAAGGGGUCAGUAAGAGCCGUCCACGUGGUCGAAGGAGUGUCUCUGCACAUGUGACACCUUGACUACUUCCUGGUUGCAGCCAGAGGUCACGGAGAGGUCAAAUGGGGGAGAGGAUCUUGUCAGAGCCUAACUACUCUUAGGAGAGAGGUCUUCAAGAAUCCAUACCAGACAGUGGUUUAAGGUGACUGAAUGACCCUGUCGGGUCUGGUCUGAACCAGUCAGUGUGUUGUGGAGACAGGCGGUCGUUAGGGAGGAAAACACGACGUCUGCUUGAGGCUGGGAACUGGAAGGCUCCUCCCUCCAGUAGUGUGACGGAUCAGUGAAGAAUGGAGAGAGAACUGGUCAUCUUGGCUAAUGGGCUCAUCUCUAGUCUAGUCUACCCCUGCAUGUAGGCUGCUGGAUCUAGAUGGAUCACUCCAAUGAAGGAGGACCGGAGGUGGAACGGCCCAUUGUGAUGUUAAAGGGGGGGUAGACAUUCUCUUUCACUGUGUAAUGCCGUGCAAAGAGACAGGGGAUGGAACUGACCACUAAAUGAUCAUGUUGACAGCAGGUUGUCGUGCAGACCAUCGGUAGUGUGAUAUGUGCUGCUGUGUUUAUGUGUGUGGAAUGGGCUGG